rnacentral:rRNA from 1 species
AAUGGGCGAAAGCCUGAUCCAGCAAUGCCGCGUGAGUGAUGAAGGCCUUAGGGUUGUAAAGCUCCUUUACCAGGGAUGAUAAUGACAGUACCUGGAGAAUAAGCUCCGGCUAACUCCGUGCCAGCAGCCGCGGUAAUACGGAGGGAGCUAGCGUUGUUCAGAAUUACUGGGCGUAAAGCGCGCGUAGGCGGUUUUUCAAGUCAGAGGUGAAAGCCCGGGGCUCAACCCCGGAACUGCCUUUGAAACUGGAUGACUAGAAUCUUGGAGAGGCGAGUGGAAUUCCGAGUGUAGAGGUGAAAUUCGUAGAUAUUCGGAAGAACACCAGUGGCGAAGGCGACUCGCUGGACAAGUAUUGACGCUGAGGUGCGAAAGUGUGGGGAGCAAACAGGAUU